CUUUACUAAGGAAACAACUCGUGAUUUCACUGAUCCUGCGCCUUUGCCGCAUCCACCAAUGGACGGCAUCACCUUCAACGCACAUGUCGCUUGAUACAGGCACAGUUCCACAUGACUGGCGAAUUGGGAAGGUCAUUCCGGUUUUCAAGAAAGGUGACAGAUCAUCCCCACGUUUUUCCAUUGCUCGCCCCGUGACAGCAACCUCAUCGAACCAGUACGUCGAACACCCCGCAC